GUGCGGCUUUGGCAGCACAUAUACUAAAAUUGGAAUGAUACAGAGAAGAUAAGCAUGGCCACUGCGCAAGGUUGACACACUUAUCAGUAUAGGAUUGUAUAAGACCU
ensembl:snRNA U6 U6 spliceosomal RNA